rnacentral:ncRNA from 1 species
AAAAAUGUAAUGCAGGAGCGAGUAAGUGUUAGUGUGCUUUAAACAGGAAGAGCCAUAUUGACUGAGAGUGGCUUUAAGACCUAAUACCGAAGUUCCCUCCGAAGACUACUAUCCGGAAAACAGUACGGAUAGUCGGCCCUAUGCCGUUAUUGAUAAUGAAGUGGUAAACAAGAGUGUUUGUUUUUCUAUGUUUACAAUUAGGGUGGUAACGCGAACCUUCGUCCCUUUU